rnacentral:rRNA from 1 species
UACGUAGGGUGCGAGCGUUUAAUCGGAAUUACUGGGCGUAAAGAGUGCGUAGGCGGUUCGUUAUGUCUGCUGUGAAAGCCCCGGGCUUAACCCGGGAAUGGCAGUGGAAACUGGCGGGCUUGAGUGUGGCAGAGGGGGGUGGAAUUCCGCGUGUAGCAGUGAAAUGCGUAGAGAUGCGGAGGAACACCGAUGGCGAAGGCAGCCCCCUGGGCUAACACUGACGCUGAGGCACGAAAGCGUGGGGAGCAAACAGGG